rnacentral:miRNA from 1 species
UGAAUGUGAAUGGGUGAUUGGGA